GUCUAUGGGCCAUGCGUAUCCCUUCACCUUCUUCCAUCCAGUGCCCCCACCCCUCCCCUCUGACAAUCUAUAUGUGAACAUAAGUAUUUUAUGACAAACAGCUAUAUUGACAUGUUUGCAAAUCUCUUACUGUCUGGCUGGAUAGAAGAUGAGCAGGGAUGCGAUGGAGGCUGACCCCACCCCAAGCCUGGCCUCUGCUGCCGUGGGCACCCUCAGGAGGCCCCAAGGCCGGCCAGGGCCAGUGCGCAUGCUCACGCCUGACCAGUGGUGCCUGCGGCCGGUCCAGGCUGGGCUCUCUGCAGCCUGAGUCCUGCCCUUGCACGACGGUCGGUGGUCACUCUGAAGACCAAACGCGGUGAUAGUUGCCUGAUGGCGUCAGACCCUGACAACCAUCCUGCCUUCGGAGAAGGGAGGCUCAGGGAGCAGCCCGUCGGUGGCCAGGAGAUGUCACUGUCGUCUCUAUUGCAGAGCCAGGGCCAGGCAGAGGGGCUGAGAGGUUAGUGCUGGAGCACAGACCAGCUCCCCUGGGCCUGUGGCGGAGUCAGCAUCAGCCAGGCUCUGCGGAGACCGACCAGCGGGCGAUGCAGGUGGGCUGUGUGCGUGGGAGACAGACCAGCAGGCGGAGCAGGUGGGCUCCGUGCAUGGGAGACAGACCAGCGGGUGCAGGUGGGCUCCGUGCGUGGGAGACAGACCAGCGGGUGCAGGUGGGCUCCAUGCGUGGGAGACAGACCAGUGGGCGGAGGUGGGCUCCGUGCGUGGGAGACAGACCAGCAGGCAGAGGUGGGCUCCGUGCGUGGGAGACAGACCAGUGGGCGGAGGUGGGCUCCGUGCGUGGGAGACAGACCAGCGGGUGCAGGUGGGCUCACGGGAUUCCGGAGGCACACGGGCCCCAUAAGCCGCCUGCCAUGUGCAGGUGGGAGACCCAGGAGAGCAGGGGUGUGAGGCCCAGAGGGGACAGGAGAAGACGGCGUCGCAGCUCAGGCUGAGUGACAGCCAGCACCCGCUCUGCUCCAUGCUACGCAGAUGAGGCCCCCGCCCCGGGGAGGCACCUGCUUGGCUCAGUCUGCAGAUCCAAAUGCUGAUCUCACCCGGAAACGCCCUCCCAGACACACCCCAUAAACAUCAGACCAAACGUCUGGGCGCCCGCGGCCUGGCCAAGUGGACGUGCACCAUUAACCAUCACCUGCCGAGCAGGCCGCCGUCUCCCGAGCCAGCUCGCUGUGUGCUCAGCAUGGUGCCACGGAAAUGCUGCAUCUGGGACGCCGGGCCCGGUUCCUCCCCACCUCUGUCCGCAGGUCAGUGGACAGAGGCCCGGCAUGGCCGACCUCCUGGCUCUGCUGCCCCGCACACACCCCGGCCCCCCACUGUGCUGACUGCAGGCCCUCAGACAGACAGGCCUGGCAGGGAUCCCCGCCCCCACCCGGGAACUUCAUCUCCUUGGUCCAAAAUGAUGGUCAUCUAAUCGUUUUCACAACUUUCCCCGGAAUCUGCUCCCAGCAGCGCUGGCUGGAGUCGGGCCGCCGUGUUUCAGUCCAUCCAAAUGCAAACACCGUCUUAGUUUCCAAGUUUUGCCUCCACCGAUCUGAGGCGGCCGGCCACACUGUCCUGCUCACUAGGCAACAGGCUGGGAGUGACGGGACCUUGGGACCACGAGGGACUCCAGGCCCAAGGACACUGGGAGCGGAACUGGAGGACGCUUUCCAGCCCGCGGGCCUGUGGGCCCCUCCGCCCCCGUCCUGCCGGGCUCCUGAACAGGCCGGGAGCUCCGCGUCAGCAGGUGCCCAUGCCCGAGAUAAGCACGAAGCUUCAUUGAUGUAAGAGGUAAAUACCGAUGGAACGUACGUACCAGGUCAAUAUUGACCUCCAGGACAAUGCACCUCACGUUGGCAUAGGUGUGCCUGACCACGGCACGGGCUCCCAAAGUCUGCGCUCGGGGGCCUGGCCACGCGGGAGCCUCUGACGCUGGGAGAAGGGUGACCUGACAUUUCCAGAUGCGCCCGCAGGGAGUCCUGGCAGGAAGCUCUACGUCACCGAGAGGGUGCGCCGGACGCCGAGGGUCAGAGCCUGGGACUGCGUGGCCGCACAGAGCAAAGCAAGGGCCAGCGCGUUUGCUUUUUGCCGAGUUCACCUGGAGAUAAGGGAAGUCCAGCCAGAACGCACAGCACACACCGGCCAUCCUGGUCAUGGCCUUGACCACUGGCUGUGUGUGUUCAGUGCCUGGCGUGUGCAGAGCACGGUCCCUGACCUUCAGGGCAUGAUGUCACAGGGCCUGGGGGUCGGGGCCAGCUCCGUGGUCACGCCCUCCAGCCUCCUCGCCACAGGCAGGCAGCCCCACUCGAUGGAGCAGUGCUGCUCUUUUGCUUAGAAAGAGAAGCUGCAGAGAACCAAGACGGCGGCGGGGCAGGUAAACAGGGACUCGCCUCCCACAACCACAUCAAAAUUACAACUAAAACACAGAACAACACCAUUUGGAACCGCCUGAAGCUGGCUGAAUGGAAGGCCUACAGCUAGAGGAGUAGAGGAGAAGCACAUUGAGACUGGCAGGAGGGCGGAGACGCAAGAGGACGAUCAGGGGAAAGGAGCCGGAACAUAAGGCUGGGCUGCUCUAUCGAUGGACUUCCCCCCUGUGAUGCAGGAAAAGGGACAGAUGGACGCUGAGGCCUGGGGAGCCACCCUGAAGGUCACACAUAGCUUCCUGCUCCGAGUCUAGUGUGUUCCUACCAGAGCCUCCGCUGAGUCAGCUGGAGGCGGUCAAAAUGCCGAUGCGACCCCUCAGCCUGGGCCUCAAACGCCGUCUGACUGACUCUGAGGAACUUCGGAACAAGGUGCCCAGAGCUCGCUCACAGACCGAGGACCUGGGCUCAGACAGAUGUGGGGCCAACAGUGAAGGUCCCUCACCUACCUCCCUCACCCAGGGGUCGGCCCUAACUCCCCAGGCGUGAAUGGGGUGGGGGCGGGGCCUGGUCCACUAGGGG